rnacentral:rRNA from 1 species
AUUGAACGCUGGCGGCAGGCCUAACACAUGCAAGUCGAGCGGAGCGGCGGACGGGUGAGUAAUGCCUAGGAAUCUGCCUGGUAGUGGGGGAUAACGUCCGGAAACGGGCGCUAAUACCGCAUACUAUCAGAUGAGCCUAGGUCGGAUUAGCACGUUGGUGGGGUAAAGGCCUACCAAGGCGACGAUCCGGAACUGGUCUGAGAGGAGGAUCAGUCACACUGGACCGGAGACACGGUCCAGACUCGUACGUGCGGAAGCAGUGGGGAAGAUUGGACAAUGGGCGAAAGCCGGAUCCAGCCAUGCCGCGUGUGUGAAGAAGGUCUUCGGAUUGUAAAGCACUUUAAGUUGGGAGGCGUUACCAACAGAAUAAGCACCGGCUAACUUCGUGCCAGCAGCCGCGGUAAUUC